GACGAACCGUGCGAACGUUAUUCGGAAUCACUGGGCUUAAAGCGCGAUGUAGGCGGCCCGGCACGUCCGUCGCUGAAAUCCCCCGGCUCAACCGGGGAAGUGGCGUGGAUACGACCGGCUGGAGGGGGGUAGGGGAGCCGGAACUUCGGUGGAGCGGUGAAAUGCGUUGAGAUCGGAAGGAACGCCGUGGCGAAAGCGGGCUCCUGGACCCAACCUGACGCUGAGACGCGAAAGCCAGGGAGCGAACGGG
rnacentral:rRNA from 1 species